AUUCCGUAGAUAUUGUUUUAAUCAGUGGAUUUUAUUGUGCCUCAAGUAAUUCAACGAGAAACCUGACAUUUCCGUGUUAAAAGCAAACCGAUAAAAUAUUAAGAGUUUAUCUACUUGUGCUGGGAUUGUCGUGAUACAAAGAUGUUGACUAUCGCAAUAAAACGUGACUUGCUGUUCAAAACAUUGGGUAAAACAUAUUGGAAUAAAAUUUAUUUAUUUGAGUUAUUGCUAAGACGGGAUUUGGUAUACAUAAAUUAACCAAAUAUAUUUUAUACCUCGACACUUAAGGACUUGCACAAAACUCGCUAAAAAAGAUUUAUGCUCAUUUUACAUAUUAGACAAACAUCACGCUCUGACUGAGUGUCAAUGAAGCGAAUAGAGAAGGGGUGUGUUUGUUUGAAGACAAUGAAAAAGCAAAUGAUAGCAAGAGUAGUUUUGACCAAGGUAUACAUGCGUCCGAAGAAAUUAUCUACAAGAUUGACACGCCUGCCAACAGAUAUUAUCUGUUGUGCUUGGAGCCUAAGUACUGGACUACUUAUAUCUUUGAAUAAAACAUACAAAAGAACUGUAAUUGGUAAUAAAAAGCAAAACACAUAAUGCACAUUACACAAGAACUGCGUAAAGGAUGUGUGCCAGGACUCUUUAAAUUUCACUUUUUAAAUGUUCCUCCACCUAUGGCUGAAUGCAUAUAUAUAAAGUCUUUUUUCUAAACAGGAUGUUCAUCCCACAUUAUAUGGCAAUAAAACCAAAGGAAUGGAAAAGAUUAUAAUGACUUCAAGAAUUCUUAAAAAUAAGUGGACAUUUGGUUGUUUCAAUUUUGAGAGACGUUACUUUGACGCAAGAUUCUUACAAUAGUUUUAUUAAUCGUCAAGAAAAGUUGCAUCAAAAUAUAGGAAGAAGACAUAGUCUGGUCUCUAUUGGCACUCAUGAUUUGGAUGCAAUUAAAGGUCCAUUUCUAUAUGAUGCUAGACACCAUCAAAAAUACAGUUCAAACCAUUUAAUCGAGAUAAGCAGUUUUCGCUAAACAAGUUGACUGACUUGAUUCGAAUAGAAAUGGCCCAGGCAGGACUUUCUCUUUGUGCUCACGUGAGAAUGUAGCGGACAAAUUGGGAUACGAAAUAGAAGAUGUGCCGGCAGUUCACAUAUCCGAUCCAAAAACUUUGGAGUUUCAAAUAAAUCGACCGAUACCGCGCGCUCUUAUUAAAACCUCGGAAACCAGAGUUCUAUUCUUGAUUUCGCCUUUUUAUUUGAACGAUACAUGUGUGUAAUAGAACGUAAACAGAUAUCGUCGUGCGGACGUUUAAAUAAAAAAAAAAUUUGCAAAGAAUACAAGAUAUUUCUUUAUUUAUUAUACAUUUUCUACGUAAUAUACGUGCAACGCGUAGCAGUUAUGAGAAAACAGGCAGAUAGCUAUACGGAUUGAUUUGCUCUUUUUCCAUCCACUUCAAGUACAGGUACUUUGCCAAAUGGCAUAGCUGAAAAAUGAUUUUAAGCCACAUGAAUGCAACAUAAUAUUGUUAGAAUAAGAUUUAUAGUAGAGAACCUAUCUGGAUUGUCAUUAUAUAUAAGUGUGUUAUAGUGAUAAAAUUUGUAGCAAUUGUAUAUAUACAUAUUCAUUAAAAAUCUUUUGGUAAUUAAUAA
rnacentral:lncRNA from 1 species